GUAAACAUUAAUGCAAAGUCUUCUUUAAGUAAUAAAAGAAUUUACACAGUACUUGAAUAUUCUUCACGUUUGACAAUUAGAGGAUUAUGCAACUACAUUUCUUUUCUUAAAUAUUAAAUUUCUUCCAAUGAAAUGAUCUAACCAAUCAACAAAUCUUUCUCUACAUUGUACCUACCUAGACAUGGCUCAUUUAUUUCACUAGAAGGGUCUUGCUCUGUCACCCAGGUUGGAGUGCGGUGGAGUGAUCACCACUCUCUGCAGCCUCAACCUCAUGGACUCAAGCCAUCCUCCUGCCUCAGCCUCCUGAGUAGCUGGGACUACAGGCAUGUACCACUAUACCUGGGUAAUUUAUAAAAAUUAUUUAUAGAGACAGAGUCUUGCCAUGUUGCCAAAAGCCAUCCCCACAAAUUCCUCCUUGCUAGCAGAACCUCUAUUAGAUGUUACUUGAAGAGCCUAUAAUCUCAAAGAAUGUGAUCCUAGUUUCUGUCCUAAGAGCAGGCACAUGGCCUAGUUCUGUUCAAUAAAGUGAAGGAAAAAUCCACUGGGGGUCUCCUGAGAAAUAUUUUCUCCUUUGAUAAAAGAAGGGGCUACUAAGGGAGGCUCCCUGCCUGUACUCAUAGCCACUUCUGUCUUUGAACAUAGUUAGAGAAGGACAUGAUGCACGGAAAUCCCGCAACAAUCUUGCAUCUCUGUAAAGUCGAAGAGACUCCAAACCUGACAACAUAGAGACACUGGGUCAACACAUCUACAAUUGCCUUCUUGCAAACUGGGGGUGGGGAAUAAAGCUCAUUUAUUUAAGCCACUAUUAGGUGACUUGCCACUGAAAACAUUCCUGAUAUAACAAGGCAUCUGUAACAUACAGCAUAUUAUCAAUAAU
rnacentral:lncRNA from 1 species